UAAACCCAAAAAAAGCGGGAGACAUGUUUGGCAAAAUUAAAAAAAAAAAAAUUUUAAGAAAAGCAAAAGAAUUUUCGAAACUCAUCAUUUUUCCUCUCUCUAUCUCUCGCCGUCUCCCCGUUUCGUUUUCUUUUUUUGAAUCGUCGACCUUUUUCUUCCUUUGAUUUUGUGUGAUAUUCUU
rnacentral:ribozyme from 1 species